rnacentral:lncRNA from 1 species
CCUCGGCGGAGAGCCAAAGGCAACAUUAGUGGAUUGCUCGUGUCAUUGAGUUACCUCACUUGUGGGUAGGUUUUUGUGGUGUCCUAGUGAGGACGAGGUUCAUGCUACACCUCUUAGCCACCGAACCAUCAAGUGUUGGUCGACACAACGGGGACGUAGCGUGCUGGCAAGCACGUGAACCUCGGGAGAAAAUUGUUUGUCUCCAUUGUGAUUAUUCAUUGGAUUUCUCCCGGUGAUUGGACUUCAUAUUAUUGAUUGGUUCAUCCCCUCUACGCGGCGGUAUAAAGAUCAAACUAUCUCUUUUUACAUUCCUGUAAACUAGAGUAGCUUACUUACUUGUAUAGAAACUUUAGGAAGCUUUCUAGUGUAAGUAGUGACAUAGCUCUUGUGUGCCUAGUGAUCAUAUCAACUAGAAUUGUUGGAUAGGUGGCUUGCAAACACCCCUUUAAAGCUAGAGCAAAAAGCUUCGCUUUGUUAUUUACUAACCCUUUGCUCUAGUGAGUUUGUAGAUUUUUAAAUAGGCUAUUCACCCUCCCUCUAGCCAUAUUAGGACCUUUCACUCCCAAAUCUCCCUAGUAGGAGAGCACCCGGCCAGCUACCAGUGGGCGGGAUGGGAUCUUGAUGCAAAGCCACUGGCGAGAGCGGACUCGGAUGCGGCCACCGACGAGCUCGUGGUUCUGCUCGCGAACGCGGAGGGGAUUGGGGCAUGAGUGACUAGGGAGGGGAUCACGAGGGAGGAGGGAGGGGAUCGCGAGGGACCAGGGCGCUUGCUGCGGUAUAGGAAGGGAUGAGAUCGGAGGGGAUCACGACGCGAGAGAGCAGGGGGAGGGGAUCGCAGAUUGCGGUUGUUUCCUAGUAUGGGGAUAUGGUCGCAUGCCGCAAGAGGCAGAACGAAAGAAAUGAUGCGCGUCGCAGGGGCAGGACGAAACCGCGAGAGUAGAAUGUCAGCACGAAAAGUUUGUCCACGUUUUGGUCUUUUUAGUUGUAUAUAGGAGACUUUUAUCAACAAAUUCAAAAGUCAUAACUCCUAAACUAAAUAUGUAAAGUAAAAUCCAAUUACAUCAUCGUGUUCCUUAUAAUAAAUCCUUCAAAACAAGAUCCUACAUGAAUAUAUUUAGAUAAAAUUUUACUAACAAACAUUUAUCUUAUAAUGAUAAAACUUUUUUAUUUAGGAGAGAUAAUGUUCUAGGUUCAGAGAAUAAAUAUUCCGUCUUUGUAAGAAAAAUGUUCUCGGUUUCAAAAAAAUAUUGUUCUAGUUUUAGGUUCAUGAAACUAAUAUUAUAACAAAUAAAUAAAUAAAUAAUGUAAAUAAAAAAUACAAUCUAGAGCAAUGCAUAAGGAAAAAAUAAAAAACACGAGAUAAAGAAAAAUUUUAAAAGAACAUCAUAUGGAUACUUUUCAAACAUCCUAAAAAUAUACUAUAAAACAUCAUAUGUAUACUAAACUGAACAUCACUAAAUACACUAUAGAAUACCAAUAAAUACAUUUUAGAACAUCGUAUAUAUAUUGUGUGAACAUCACUAGAUACAUCAUAGAACACCAUAUCUGUGCUAAGUGAACAUCAUUAAAUACAUCAUAGAACAUCACUCAAUACUUUAUAGAAUAUUAUAUAUAUAUAUAUACCAAGUGAACAUCACUUAAUAUAUUAUAAAACAACACAUAUAUAUUAUGUGCUUUCUUUUUUUCAUUUUUGAUCUGUAAAUUGAGUUGUUAGUGAAUACGUUAAAUUCACCGACUCUAUUUCAUUUGCUGAAUAUAUAUGAUAUUUAUUUUCUUUGAAGUAAAAAUUCUAUAACAUCAAUAAAAUACAUCAUAAAAUAUGAUAUGUAUAUUGUGUGAACAUCACAAAAACACAUCAUAGAACAUCACAUGUAUAUUACGCAAAUAUCACAAAAUACAUCAUAAAUUAUUGCAUAUAUAUCACGUGAACAUAAAACAUCACAUGCGUAAAACAUAAACAUAAAAAAAUCACAUGUAUACUACAUAAACAUAAAAACAACACAGAACAUCAUAAAAAUAAUAAGAAAAGUAAAAAAAAAUAAAAAUAAUAAAAAACACAUAAAACAAAGAAAUAAAUUUUAAAAUUGAAUGAUGCACUAAAAGGAAGAAAAGAGAAAAAGUUUAAGAAAUAUAAAAAUCAUGAAAAGAAUAAUGAAAGAUCACUUGAAACAAAAACUAAGGAAAAAAUAAAUUGAAAAAGGAAAUAAAAAAUAAUCAAAAAGAAAGGAAAAGAAAAUAAAAAUAAGUUGAAGCUAUAAAAAAUAAAUAAAAAAAGAAAAGAAAAGAAACAAAGUGAAAAAACAAAAUAAAGAAAAGAAAAAAAUACUAAGAAAACAGAAAAAGAAAAAACAAAAGAAAACUAAACACGCGGGAGGGAAAAGAAAAGGAAAUAAAGUAAGAAAAAAUAAAAUAAAAAAUAAAAUAAAAAAUAUACGUACUUACGUGGGGGAAUCAAAGAGCGUGUUUGGUUCCCUUCCUAGACUAGCCGGUACCCCGGUACAGCCAGCCAGGCCAGAUUUGGCCAGUGCAUGUUGAAAGCCCAAGUUUGGUUUUGGUAAUUAAUGACACCAAGUUGCUAAUGCCUUGUGAUUAAGUGAUUUGAGUUAGGCAUAGCAACACAUGUGAUGAAGGUGCAUGGUGGCAUGGAAAGGUAGCCACAUGAUCACAAAGGGAUGAAACAUGAAGUAAAGAUCAUUGUGAUAGACGAGGAGCGAAGUUAUCAAGGCAAAGGAAUAACAUAGGGUUUUACUUUUGCCGGUCUAAGAUGAGUAGAGAAGUGAUUGACCGGGUUUAGGAUAGAUAGCCGACUAUCAAGAGGAGAAAUCAUGGUCAUCUCUUGAAUCAAGUGCUACUAGGUCUACAUCUUGAGCAUAUGCAUUAGGAUCUAGUAAAGUGCUAACUUAACUCCUUUGAGAAAAUGUUUGUGAAAAGCUAACACACAUGCACUUUGGUGGUGGACACUUGUUGGUGUUAGCACUUUUGCAAAUGAGGUGGAGUUCCUAGGGUUGAGAGGGGUUUGGGUUCCUCUCUCCCUCCCGCCGAGCUUGGGAGGCAGGAUUCGGCGUUUUUGAGAAAAAUAAGUCUGUAUUUUCUAUUGCACCGGUGGAAAAUUUGGAGAAGUCACGGGAGUGUUUUUCGCUGAGAAACACUCACCGGACGCUGAGUGCGGAGGCACCGGACGCUGGCCUCAGAGUCCGGUGUGCUUGACCCUACUAGGGUUGAGCACCGGACGCACUCUGAAAGCGUCCGGUGGUGUGCGUCCGGGGUAAGAAGGUUUUGCAACACUCUCUACGCUUUAGUCCGGUGAGCACCGGACGCUACCGAUGCUUAGCGUCCGGUGACCCUGCAGGUUUGCGGAACUCUCUGCGCAUG